rnacentral:lncRNA from 1 species
GAGAGAUCAGAGGACAUUUACAAAAUCACAGUCCUCCCACGGUGGUGGGAAAAGGUUACUGUAGUAUGUCCUAAGGGGUGAACAGCGUGCCCAAGGGAAACAGUAAGGACAGGGCAAGACCCAGGAAAGCAACAAAAAUUUAGAUGUUGUCUAUGUGGCUGCCCCAGUGCCCGCUGCCUCGUUUCUCAGAGCUAAUCAAGGGAAGCGUAACUAGUCCAGGCGGCAGGACGAGUUUACAACAACUGACAGUAACUAUAACAUACGCCAGUUUGUAUUAAGAUGUUAUUGCACCUUUCCAGUUCUAAUCACCAAUUAUGACUCUAUUACUCCUACUUGGCAGUUCAUCUGCUCCUGCCUCCGCUAAGGGCGACUUGGAGACGGACCUCUGAUCUCCCGGUUCCACUUCAGUGAGCGCUCAGCACGGCGGCUGUCAUUUGCAGACACUGAAGAGUGCGCUAAUAGAAUCACAGCCCUCGUUAGCUACUGAAUAAAAGAUCAAUCACAGACUUUGAAAGCUCCUGCUACCAGCUUCCAGAGGAAACAAGAAAAAAAAAAAAGAGCGUGAGCAAGAGAGAAAGAUAUUUAGGAUCAUCGCUGAGAUUCUGAAUGGCCUCGCUGCAAGUUGCUUAAAUUACCUUUUCCACAACUGACUCCAACUGUAAUACUCAGAGGAACUUGUUAAGCCUGCCUUCAAGAGCAGCAUUCUAAUAUAUGACUGCUAGACCCUGGUCAAAAGUUCAUAAUGUGCAUAUGUAAAAAGGUACUAAAUUGCCUGAGGGCUAAAACCAGAGGAGUUUAAUUGUAGCAAAAUGCUGAAAAUGGUCUGUUGAGGGUCCUUCCAUUGGGAUACUGCUGGCUCUAGCUGAUUGAAGUACAGAACAUAAAAGUCUUACAACAAUAUUUCCUUAAAUGCUGGGGAAACUGCCAGCAGUUGGUAUUGCAUGAAUGUUGUGGUUAAAGAAAAACAUUUUCCUCCCCUAAAAUAAAUAGAGUAUUAAAAACUGCUCCAGCCCAUAAUUCUAAAGCAUGACGGGAAAAGGGAGGGCUCGACGAUCAUAAAUAAGGUAUAAUUCAUAGGGCAUGUCCAAUCGACUUGCAGUGUAUUUUUACAUGGGGCACAUUGAAGGUAUUCAGGCGUGACCUGUGAGGGUUUUUGAGCUGUGCAUGUCUGUGAUUGUGAAAACAGCUUUGCACUGAAAUAACAGCAGCUCCUGGCUGCCUUACCUGUCACUGGGUUAGACAUAC